UACGUAGGUGGCAAGCGUUAUCCGGAAUUACUGGGCGUAAAGGGCUCGUAGGCGGCCAACUAAGUCGGAUGUGAAAUCCCCAGGCUUAACCUGGGAACUGCAUCCGAUACUGGAUGGCUUGAAUCCGGGAGAGGUGAGUGGAACUCCGAGUGUAGAGGUGAAAUUCGUAGAUAUUCGGAAGAACACCAGUGGCGAAGGCGGCUCACUGGCCCGGUACUGACGCUGAGGUGCGAAAGCGUGGGGAGCAAACAGG
rnacentral:rRNA from 1 species